UAGGUUUUCCUGUACAUAUAGUUAGAUGUAUUUUUUCUAAUAAUCUCGAUGCUUUAUUUUGGUCAAUAAAUGCCAAACAUUAACAAAAUUUUGCAUUGCUUUAUAUGUACAAUUAUAUAAAUUCUGUUUAUAUUAAAAAAUAUAUAUAUUUAAUAUGUUGGGAUAGGCGUAUUAAUUUCUUAAGGAUCUUCUCCCUACGGGAUAGAAAUUAUUACGUCUUAAGGAUCGUCUCCCAAUUAUAAUAUUUUUAUUGCUUGUUAUUUUUUAUUUUUUAUUUUUAAAAUGAAUUGGUUGACUAAUAAUUGUGUAUAAUUGUCUAUUUUCCUAUUGGUAAUUGAAUUUUUUUUCUUUUCAUUAUUUGUUAUAGUUUGAAUAUGUCUGAUAUCAACAAAAGAGAAUUCACCGAGCUUGCUCUUGAUGGUGGUAACUAUUUGACUUGGGCUUUGGAUGUUGAAAUAUACCUCGCCUCAUGUGAUUUGAGUGAC
rnacentral:lncRNA from 1 species